AGCGAACGCUGGCGGCAGGCCUAACACAUGCAAGUCGAACGGCAGCGGGUGUAGCAAUACAUGCCGGCGAGUGGCGCACGGGUGCGUAACGCGUAUGCAACUUACCUAUAACUGGGGAAUAGCUCUCGGAAACGGGAAUUAAUACCGCAUAAUAUCACGAUUUGGCACCAUUUUGUGAUCAAAACUCCGGUGGUUAUAGAUAGGCAUGCGUGACAUUAGCUAUUUGGUGAGGUAACGGCUCACCAAGGCUACGAUGUCUAGGGGGUCUGAGAGGAUGAUCCCCCACACUGGUACUGAGACACGGACCAGACUCCUACGGGAGGCAGCAGUAAGGAAGAUUGGACAAUGGCCGCAAGGCUGAUCCAGCCAUGCCGCGUGCAGGAUGAAGGUGCUCUGCAUUGUAAACUGCUUUUGUUCGGGAAUAAACCCCUCUACGUGUAGAGGGCUGAAUGUACCGAAAGAAUAAGGGUCGGCUAACUUCGUGCCAGCAGCCGCCGUAA
rnacentral:rRNA from 1 species